rnacentral:rRNA from 1 species
ACUAGGAAUUUUGCGCAAUGGGGGCAACCCUGACGCAGCGACACAGCGUGGAGGAGGAAGGUCUUCGGAUUGUAAACUCCUUUUAUAUGGGAAGAAUAGAUGACUGUACCAUAUGAAUAAGCACCUGCUAACUACGUGCCAGAAGCAUCGGUGAUGCGUAGGGUGCGAACGUUAUCCGGAUUUAUUGGGCGUAAAGAGAUGCGUAGGCGUUUCAGUUAGUCUUUCGUUAAAAGUCACGGCUUAACCGUGAAGAUGCGUUGGAUACUGCUGAAAUUGAGACAUGAAGGGGUGAACGGAACUCCAAGUGGAGCGGUGAAAUGCGUUGAUAUUUGGAAGAACAUCAGAGGCGAAGGCGGUUCACUGGUCAUUGUCUGACGCUAAGGCUCGAAAGCGUGGGUAGCAAAACGGAUUAGAAACCCGGGUAGUCC